rnacentral:lncRNA from 1 species
UUGUGUUUGUCUAUUUUCCUAGGAAAAACUUGAAACAUGAUUAACAGUCACUAUGUUAGUUUGUUAUAUUAAAUACAAAAUACAUAUUAUCAAAUUUCACAUAUUAUAAAGAAAUUUCACAUAUUACAGUCGCUAUGUUCUUGAAAACACACGAAACUAUAAAAUGUAAACAACUAAAAAAUAUAAUCAACAAUCACAUAUUCGUGAUUACCCAUAUUCAUGUAAUAUCAGUUGGUUAAUCAUAUAAAACAUUCCUAAAAAAAAUAAUAUAAAAACAUAACCCAUAUAAAGUUUUGAUAGCCCGACGUGAUUGUGUAACAUUGUCGCAUUAUAAAUUGUCGAACUCUUUAUAUAUCUCUUGUACCCGAAAA